AACCCUCCCUCCCCAGAGGGGCUCCAGGGACCCUGCAGGACCCUGCAGCCUCGGCCCAGCCCUGAGGGCAGCGGCACCCCAGGAGCAGAGCUCAGCUCCCAGCCCUGCUGGAAGCCCUCCUCGACAGCUGCGAGGCACCUCAGAGGCAGCUCUGUGGCUACUGAGGUUUCCCCAGAAGUUUCAGGGGAUACUAUUUCCUUGAAAGAUCAUUUUCAAGGCUGCACUAACGAUCAGCAGGUUUGCUAAAGAAGCACCUUCAUGUCAGAGUUCACUUGAUGCUCCAGAAGACAGAUGUUCCUUUAACUGGCCAGUAAUGAGGAAUAAAGGCAAGACACUCAGCUGAAGGUAGGAAAAG
rnacentral:lncRNA from 1 species